AAAAAAACAGACUAUCAGAAGCAAGAGAAUUAGUCCUACAACAGGAAAAAGUCUUAAAGGACAUUAAGAUAAAACUAGACAACUUGCACAAGCACUUCAAGCGCUCUGAACUAAUUAGGUCAAAAAACUCAAAGGAGUUGCAGAUUCCAAUAGAAACCUUGGGAGAAGAAAGCAGGCAAAGGGAGGAGAAGAUGAAAAAGAAUACACAAGAUAA